AUCGCUUCUCAGCCUUUUGGCUAAGAUCAAGUGUAGUACCUGUUCUUAACAGUUUAGUAAAUGUAUUUGACACCAGUGACCUGCACACUUAAAAAGGGUUAAGAUGGUAAAUUUUAUGUUGUAUGUAUUUUUCUACACACACACACACGAAAUGAAG
ensembl:snRNA U2 U2 spliceosomal RNA